rnacentral:tRNA from 1 species
AGGCGCGGCAGCAAGGUGGUAAAGCAUCGGUCUGCAAAACCGAUAUGCCGCGGUUUGAUUCCGCCCGCACCUCC